rnacentral:rRNA from 1 species
ACACGUAAGGUGCGAGCGUUGUUCGGAAUUAUUGGGCGUAAAGGGCUCGUAGGCGGCCUGCCAAGUCCCACGUGAAAGACCAGGGCUCAACCCUGGGAACGCGAGGGAAACUGGUAAGCUGGAAUCUUGGAGGGGGUACUGGAAUUCCUAGUGUAGGGGUGAAAUCUGUUGAUAUUAGGAAGAACACCGGAGGCGAAGGCGAGUACCUGGCCAAAGAUUGACGCUGAUGAGCGAAAGCGUAGGGAGCGAACAGGAUUAGAUACCCUGGUAGUCUACGCCGUAAACGAUGUGCACUUGGUGGUGGUCCCGUCCGGGAUCGCUGCCGUAGCUAACGCGUUAAGUGCACCGCCUGGGGAGUACGCCGGCAACGGUUAA